CGCGGGAUGGAGCAGUCUGGUAGCUCGUCGGGCUCAUAACCCGAAUGUCGUUGGUUCAAAUCCAGCUCCCGCAACCA
rnacentral:tRNA from 1 species